UUACACAUGCACGUCGAACGGCAGCACGGGAGCUUGCUCCUGGUGGCGAGUGGCGAACGGGUGAGUAAUGCGUCGGAACGUACCGAGUAAUGGGGGAUAACGCAGCGAAAGUUGUGCUAAUACCGCAUACGCCCUUUGGGGGAAAGCAGGGGAUCGCAAGACCUUGCGUUAUUCGAGCGGCCGACGUCUGAUUAGCUAGUUGGUGAGGUAAUGGCUCACCAAGGCGACGAUCAGUAGCGGGUCUGAGAGGAUGAUCCGCCACACUGGAACUGAGACACGGUCCAGACUCCUACGGGAGGCANCAGUGGGGAAUUUUGGACAAUGGGGGCAACCCUGAUCCAGCCAUUCCGCGUGAGUGAAGAAGGCCUUCGGGUUGUAAAGCUCUUUCAGCUGGAACUGAAACGGUAGUCUCUAACAUAGGCUGCUAAUGACGGUACCAGCAGAAGAAGCACCGGCUAACUACGUGCCACCAGCCGCGGUAAUACGUAGGGUGCGAAGCGUUAAUCGGAAUUACUGGGCGUAAAGCGUGCGCACGCGGAUUGUUAAGCUAGACGUGAAAUCCCCGGGCUUAACCUGGGAAUGGCGUUUUGAACUGGCAGUCUAGAGUGUGUCAGAGGGGGGUAGAAUUCCACGUGUAGCAGUGAAAUGCGUAGAGAUGUGGAGGAAUACCGAUGGCGAAGGCAGCCCCCUGGGAUAACACUGACGCUCAUGUACGAAAGCGUGGGUAGCAAACAGGAUUAGAUACCCUGGUAGUCCACGCCCUAAACGAUGUCAACUGGUUGUUGGGGGAGUGAAAUCCCUUAGUAACGAAGCUAACGCGUGAAGUUGACCGCCUGGGGAGUACGGUCGCAAGAUUAAAACUCAAAGGAAUUGACGGGGACCCGCACAAGCGGUGGAUGAUGUGGAUUAAUUCGAUGCAACGCGAAAAACCUUACCUACCCUUGACAUGUCCAGAAUCCUGCAGACAUGCGGGAGUGCCCGAAAGGGAAUUGGAACACAGGUGCUGCAUGNCUGUCGUCAGCUCGUGUCGUGAGAUGUUGGGUUAAGUCCCGCAACGAGCGCAACCCUUAUCAUUAGUUGCUACGCAAGGGCACUCUAAUGAGACUGCCGGUGACAAACCGGAGGAAGGUGGGGAUGACGUCAAGUCCUCAUGGCCCUUAUGGGUAGGGCUUCACACGUCAUACAAUGGUCGGUACAGAGGGUUGCCAAGCCGCGAGGUGGAGCCAAUCCCAGAGAGCCGAUCGUAGUCCGGAUUGUUCUCUGCAACUCGAGAGCAUGAAGUCGGAAUCGCUAGUAAUCGCGUAUCAGCAU
rnacentral:rRNA from 1 species